rnacentral:rRNA from 1 species
UACAGAGGGUGCUAGCGUUGUUCGGAAUCAUUGGGCGUAAAGCGCGUGUAGGCGGUUCGGUAAGUCUUUUGUGAAAGCUCCUGGCUCAACUGGGAGAGGUCAAAGGAAACUACCGGGCUAGAGUGUGGUAGGGGAUACUGGAAUUCCUGGUGUAGCGGUGAAAUGCGUAGAUAUCGGAAGGAACAUCAGUGGCGAAAGCGGCUUCCUGGACCAGUACCGACGUUCAGGCACGAAAGCGUGGGGAGCAAACAGG